UUAGUGCGUCACGCGCGCGAAAGAAAGAGCGGAAGGGCUGGAGGAGAGGGAGACGUGUCGUAUUAUCUUUCGAAAUACGAUCAGUACGAGAUAAAUACUAGAAGUGGUAACGUGUGAAGUAUACAUCGAGAUUAAUAUCGAAAGUGCCUUGUAAAGCGUCGUGUGAUCGUCUUAUUCUAUUGAUUUAGUGCGUGUGUGAUCGUAGUUUUGUGCUUUCGUGAGUGAAGGAAGAAAGGAUGAACAAGAGAGGAGGAGGAGAAGGACGAGGAGAAGGCUCGAUGUGGCAUCGUCAAAGCAACCAUAAGAUUCUUGGGACAUCUAGAGCGUUUGAAUUGGCAUAUAUAUAAGCCGUACUUUGCAAACUGUCAUCGAACUCACAUACUGCAUAAAUUCCGAAUGCUACUUUGUAUUGAUCAGCUGAAAAUGACGGGAAAGGAUCAAUUCUUCCAAAAGAUUCAAAGGAGGCCGAAAAGUUUGGGAACCGCUGGAUCGAAGGAGCCUUGCCUUUGCCAGCGUCCCUCUCCCUGUCGAACACGCCUACCGUCUGAUCUUGUAACACCACGAGUUCGAUCGAAUUUCACGGCGUCAAGCGGCACGAAGAGAUCUCACGAAGUAGGCCAUCUUUUUUAUCGCAUCUUUUAAACGCCCGUCGUGGAUCCCAGCUGCGGAUGAGGUCGCGACGAUCCAUCGACUGACCUCACUCUCUUUGACAGGCCAUUUCUAGUCUUUAACUCCGGGAAAAAAGUACGCGAAAGAAAUUGGACAUAUCUUUUUCGUAAUGAAUCUUUUCAGCACUUUGUGUAUUUUCUUUCUAGACUAUUUAGAUAAUAUGCACUUUUCUUUCUAGACUAUUUAGAUAAUAUGCACUUUUCUUUCUAGACUAUUUAGAUAAUAUGCACUUUUCUUUUUAGACUAUUUAGAUAAUAUACACUUUUUCCCUUUUGUCUUUCUAUCUUUAAAAGCUAUUUGUUAUCUUAUUUCAAGUGCAUACGAAAAUAAAUGUCGUUUAUGAAAAAAUAAACUUGAUUAUUCUACAAGUGAUGCAUGCAUAUGUUGUAUA